rnacentral:rRNA from 1 species
UACGGAGGGGGCAAGCGUUGUUCGGAGUUACUGGGCGUAAAGCGCACGUAGGCGGUGCGGUAAGUCAGGGGUUAAAGGCUGCAGCUCAACUGCAGUAAGGCCUUUGAUACUAUCGCGCUAGAGUACCAGAGAGGAUGGCGGAAUUCCCGGUGUGGCGGUGAAAUGCGUAGAUAUCGGGAGGAACACCAGUAGCGAAGGCGGCCAUCUGGCUGGUAACUGACGCUGAGGUGCGAGAGCGUGGGGAGCAAACAGG